GAUGAACGCUGGCGGCGUGCCUAAUACAUGCAAGUCGAGCGAACAGACGAGGAGCUUGCUCCUCUGACGUUAGCGGCGGACGGGUGAGUAACACGUGGAUAACCUACCUAUAAGACUGGGAUAACUUCGGGAAACCGGAGCUAAUACCGGAUAAUAUAUUUAACCGCAUGGUUCAAUAGUUAAAGACGGUUUUGCUGUCACUGAUAGAUGGAUCCGCGCCGCUUUAGCUAGUUGGGAAGGUAACGGCUUACCAAUGCAACGAUGCGUAGCCGACCUGAGUGGGUGAUCGGCCACAUUGGAACUGAGACUCAGUUCAGUUUCCUACGGGAGGCUACUGUAGGGAAUCUUGCGCAAUGGGCGAAAGCCUGUCUGAGCCACGUCGAGUCAUUGACGAAGGUCUUCGCAUCGUAAAACGCUGUUAUUAGGGAAGAACAAAUGUGUAAGUAACUAUGCACGUAUUGACGGUACCUAAUCAGAAAGCCACGGCUAACUACGUG
rnacentral:rRNA from 1 species